rnacentral:rRNA from 1 species
CCACGAGCCGAAGCUUUGGGUUUGUCCGCAAGGGCAAGCGGUAGCGGAGCGUUCUGUAAGCCUGUGAAGGGACAGCCGUGAGGCAUCCUGGAGGUAUCAGAAGUGCGAAUGCUGACAUGAGUAACGACAAACAGAGUGAAAGACUCUGUCGCCGAAAGUCCAAGGGUUCCUGCGUAAAGUUAAUCUUCGCAGGGUUAGCCGGCUCCUAAGGCGAGGCCGAAAGGCGUAGUCGAUGGGAACCACGUUAAUAUUCGUGGGCCAGUGGAUGGUGACGCGUUGGAUAAGUUGUUCGGGAUUAUUGGAUUUCCCGGGCAGCGAACCGGCGCCAGGAAAUAGCCUCCACAUCAGACCGUACCCGAAACCGACACAGGUGGACUGGUAGAGUAUACCAAGGCGCUUGAGAGAAUGACGUUGAAGGAACUCGGCAAUUUACCUCCGUAACUUCGGGAUAAGGAGGCCUCGGUUCG